rnacentral:rRNA from 1 species
UUGGAGGGCAAGUCUGGUGCCAGCAGCCGCGGUAAUUCCAGCUCCAAUAGCGUAUAUUAAGGUUGUUGCAGUUAAAAAGCUCGUAGUUGAAUUUCGGGAUUAGUGCGCCGGUCGUGCCUUCGGUAUGUACUGGUGUUACUGGUUCCUACCUUCUGACGAACCGUCAUGUCAUUAAUUUGGUGUGGCGGGGAAUCAGGACUGUUGCUUUGAAAAAAUUAGAGUGUUGAAAGCAGGCUCGCGCUUGAAUACAUUAGCAUGGAAUAAUGAAAUAGGACGUUCGAUCCUAUUUUGUUGGUUUCUAGGAUUGACGUAAUGAUUAAUAGGGAUAGUUGGGGGCAUUAGUAUUCAAUUGUCAGAGGUGAAAUUCUUGGAUUUAUUGAAGACUAACUACUGCGAAAGCAUUUGCCAAGGAUGUUUUCAUUAAUCAAGAACGAAAGUUAGGGGAUCGAAGACGAUCAGAUACCGUCGUAGUCUUAACCAUAAACUAUGCCGACUAGGGAUCGGAUGAUGUUAUUUUUAAUGACUCAUUCGGCGCCUUACGGGAAAC